rnacentral:tRNA from 1 species
UCAGGCUAUGGGACGGCUGGCGCGUCCAAUGGCGUUCUGAACGCCAUAAAUGGCGGCACGAUCGUCUCGGACAACUCGAUC